GCUCUCUCGUGUUGCACAGGUUUAUUGACGUUGUCCUCCAUUUUCUUUGCAAAACACUAGAUGCAGCGAUUGAAAGCGUGAACAUAUAGGUGCGUAAAAUUGCUGGGUAUUUUCUGUCUAGCUUUCGCACACCUACUGCACUUUCGGAAUUCUUUAUUUUCUUUUUCUGCUUGUUUGUGAGUUUUGUUACAUCUAUAUUUUUUACUGUUUAAUUAUUUUAAAAUUAAUAGUGUACAUAUUUGGUUAAAAUCGAUUGCCUAUUUUCGUUUUCAAAACUUUUUUUGGUUGGUCCGAUCGAUUGUGCAAUUGAUUUUCGAACGAAAAGUGACAGCCCUAAACAUAAGCAUUUCUUAUAAGACGAACUGUCCCUUUAACACCGGUGAAGAAGCGCUGAUUUAUACACCGACACAUAUGAUCAACUGCUCACUUAUAAUAAACGACUGUUUUUAUGAGAAUACUUUCAAACACUGUGGUAUUACAAUAUAGUUUGUGCGUAUAUACCCCCCCAAAAAUAUGCGUUUGUUUUGCGUGAUUUUUGAAACGCGCGUUGGCCGUGGGCUUUUGAGUUUGUGCGCGUACGUGCACUGAAAACAGUUCACUUUAGCAUCUUUGUCGCUCAAAUAGUCUAAAAUCGCUUAAAGGUUACUGUUAACUUUCUUAUUAACUGUAUUAGUAACAGUAUGUUCUUAUUACAGCAUUUCUAGGGCCCUAUAAAAUCCGUUUUAUUUUUUCCCAAAUUCCGUUUUAUUUUUUCCCAAAUUCCGUUUUCUCCGUUUUAAUUUUUGCAAAAUCCGUUUUAUCCGUUUUAAUUUUUGGCAAUUAUAUUUUUUACCCUUUACUUUUAUUUUAGUCAUAAAAAGAGUGUGCCUUUUAAUGUUAAUGAUUAAAAUGUAAAUGAUUUGGGGGAAAAACUGGAUAACAGGAUUACUUUUAAUGACUAUAAAAGAUGCAUUUACACACGCACAUACACACGCGCGCGCACGCGCACACACAACUCAAUUCAAUGCAUUGUUUUUUUUUAGUGUUGUUGCAGGAGGAGGCUACAACAAGGUGUCAACACAGUGGUGCCUUCAGAAGUGCCUUAAACACAUCAAUCCAGCGGAACGCGAUCCAUAUUUUAUACACAAUCGCUUGACAUGCAUAUAACUUUACAAACAUACACAGGAUAGUGAUCUGACUUAGGACAGCAUGAGCAUGCAGCUCUUUUCACGUGCGAGCGAAAGAGAGACAGAGAGCGGCGCCAUGAUGCAGAUGAUUAUAUUUUAAAUGCGAGGGAUAGUUAGUUUGCCUCAGCUCGCUUGAAAUGCAUAAAACUGAACAAACAUACACAGGAUAGUGAUCUGACUUAGGACAGCAUGAGCGCGCAGCUAUUUGCACGUGCGAGCGAAAGAGAGACAGAGAGCGGCGCCAUGAUGUAGAUGAUUAUAUUUUAAAUGCGAGGGAUAGUUAGUUUGCCUCAGCUCGCUUGAAAUGCAUAAAACUGAACAAAUACAUGAGGAUUUGUGUUAGCACUUCAGACACAUGCGUGAGCGCGUGCACAUGAGAGAGGUACAGUGAGACAGACAUGGAUGAGAGAGUUACAUGUAUCUUUGCGCUCACCAUGAACAGAGUGUUGACUAAACUUCCAAACUAACAGUUCUCCGGUCACAUUAAAGUCAUGUGAGACCUGCUCGGAACUAAGUGCUUAGCGUCGAAUUUCUUAAUUUUUUCGCUGACGAAAUCAGAGUCGUGGAGAGCCGCUUCGCCAUGGUUUCAGUGUUUUGGAGGAGGUCUGAAACGACGGGAGGGGGCGUGUCGCCCAGAUUUACUUCCCCCGGUCUGCAUUUCCCACAGACAUACGUUCGUCUCCCAUACAAAAACAUAAUUUUAUUCAAAAUAUGUAAAAUUCCGCGAAAUUCCGCGUUUAUACUAGAUUCCGUGUUAAUUAGCCAAUUCCGCGAUUCCGUCCGCGAUUCCGUGAUCGCGGAAAUUAUAGGGCCCUACAUUUCAUGCAAUAUUUUGCAGUUUCACCAUAUUUACAUUUAAGUACUUACAGCCGUAGACCAAUGUGACUUACAAGCGAGAAGUACGUCCAUAAUUCGUUCCAAAUCCAUUCCAACAAAAAAUCUUUUAGGUCACUUUGCAGGGUCAGUCUGUGUAGAUAUGUUGUUUUAAUUGGUUGAUGCCUUAGAAUUCUACAAUGAUAGUUUUACAGCAUUUUGUGUUGACUUUACAUCCCGAAGGCAGUCGCUCUACGCAUCUUCAACAAGCUUGUAUGACGAAGAACACAGACAUGCGGAUGACAUAACAGUAGCGCGAGAGCCGUUCGAAAGCAGACUUCCUUAUGACUUCUCGAUUCACUCUCGUGAUACUUUGAUGUCACCUGCCUGCCUGUCGGUUUUUGCAGCGCCGCAUGAACUCAAACAAAUCUAAUGUCUGGGAUACAUGUUUGGAUGACGGCGAAGGGCGCGUCUACAAACAACGCGCGCAUACCCCCCUCCCCCCCCAAAUUUUUUCUCAUCGAAUCUACAUGAUUCACGUGGGUCACCUUUUUUGGCUUUAAAACUGCGAAUUUCGCCGAAAGGUGAGGGAUUUUCAUGCCUGGGGUUUAAUGGUGCACUAGAAGAAUCCUUCCUAAAAUGCAUUAAACUUUCGUUUACAAAGACGUGAAACUCACCGAGUGGUCAGGGGUGUUCACUGAUAUGCUCACACAAAAAUCGCUGCAAAAGAUGCUUUCCAACAGCUGUUUUAGCAUUCUUUGUAACAUGUGGACCUAUUUUUCCAAACGCCUCACACCCGUACAUUCUUCCGCUUAGAGCUUGAAUAAUAGACACUCCAGCCCAGGUGGUGGCGCUAAUCUGCCAUUGCCAAUUGCAAGAAUAGAAACAAAGUUCCCGGCGCGGAGUAAUACCGUACCUCACAGUAGAGGUCUUCUCGGGUCCAAAGAAAGACCCGACCCGAGACAAACCCGAGAAAAUUAGACCCGAGUCCGACCCGAACUAGUGAAAUUUUUUUUUUAACCCGACUGGAACCAAAUGUAAACGGCACUGACGUGUGUGCAUUCUGCAGACCCACGCGCAGCAGUCAGACAGAAAGAAAGAAACUCCGGUGGCCUUGCAACCAAUUUGGCGAGCUGCUCCAUUCGUUUUACUUUGUUAUCUGACGACGACACCAACGUAACCGCUAAUAUGUACAUUUAUAAUUGACUGACAUGUUUGUCUCAACAAAAAUGAACCUUCCGACAACCACACAAUGUCGCAAGCACUCUUGGCAAACAGAUGAGAGGUUUGAAAAGGACAUUGACGCACACAGGCGAGAGAGUUCGGGUCCUCUCGGGUCCGUUCAGAAAAAACACAUUCAUUUUUAAAUUACCCGAGACCCGAUGCCGCUAUUAUUGUACCCGACCCGUGUCCGAGGCACAUGUGAAACUUUUAAAACCGUUCUAUUUCAUCAUAAACAAUCUGAAAACAAGGCUUUAAGUGUAAAAUACCGAACUUGUCCUUUAAAAGACAUUGUUUGGGUUACAGACCAGGGAGCAAAUGUAGUUAAUGCUCUCAGGUCAUACACGAGACAUGACUGCAUGGACCACGGCAUCAACACUGUCCUUCGCCAUGGCCUUGAUAAUGACGCACUGACACAAGUGGUCCCUGACUUCGCUGAAACAGUGACAGCAGCAAAGGUGCUUGUCAGGUAUAGUAGGGUAGAAAUGUUUUACUCUUAUAAUAUUAUUAGUAUCCAUUUAUUUUCCCAUUAGUAAAUUAUGGUAACGCUUUAUAAUACCACAUGCAAUAACGUAAAUAAACCGAAUUUACAGCGUACAAUGACAGUGCAUAAAGUGCUAAAAUGCUUGUAUUGACGCAUGUUGCAAAGUUUCUAUCUACCAAUAAUAAGAGCUAUUAAAUGAACAAAUAGCGUGCAGCUUUGUUGUCAUUAUUGUGUGAUUUCAAAUAAAAGUUUUUAACAAGAGUUUCAGAUUGCAAAGCAACACUUCAAAUAUGCCCACAAAUGUUACAGUUACCUGGUAAAUAGGGAAUAAGUUGCUAUUUUUAUUGUACUUGCCUUAAAACACAGAUUACCACAUUGAAUCAGCUGAACUUUUGCUAUUAAAAGCAUAUUAGUAAUAUAGGCUACUUAAAUAAAAGUGAUGUGCUGUUAUAUUUAUUUGCCGACGUGGCUCGUAGAUAUGACGAACGGUAUACAAUAUUUUUAUCAGGUAAGUAGCAAAUAUGAAAAUUCCCAAAAAAAUUCAAUAAAAUUUACCCAUAGACUUAAUUGCCUAAGGUCAUACAUAGCCUGCAACAUAAUAUUACAAUAGGUACCCUGUAAUAAAAUACUUAAAAUAACACUCUAAAAAUGGCUGGGUUAUUUUAUAGAGACUAAGACGACGGGUGUAAUUUGGAGGAAUGACGACUGUUACCUCAGAUCGCCAUUUACACAAAUUGACUCGAAUAAUCGUUCUAAGAUGUUUGAUAUGGCAUAUUAAUAAAAUAGAUGUUACAAAAUCCCCAUCUCACGUUUGAUUACGUUAAGUUAACUCAUGACAAUUUCUGUAAGCCUUUAACAAAGCCAGUCAAACCCGGUACCGAGUCGACCUCCGCAACCCCACUUCGGCUUCUUGUGUCACACACGCGCAGUUUUCCCUUUCCCAGCUUAACAAGCGAUAGCGACGCUGUUAAAUUAAAUUUAGCGACAAACGAGUUGCUUUCUUGUCAUUCGAUAUGUAAAGACAGACCGCGAGGCGCGGGCACAUGUUAACCGGCGGCGGAGGAUCACGGAGCCGGCGUCUACGCUGUCUGUCUGAGGCAGGGACAGAAGCAGCACAUUCACUUCACCGUCGGUACGGCAGAGUGUGCAGAGUUUUUAUGUCCAUCCAUUGAUGAGGCUUGCACAACUUCAUCCAAUUGCAACAAAUGUGGUGGAAUUUCUUCUCUGGACAGAAUCCUCGAAACCCUUUCCUUUCGUCCUGGCCAUGGGAAAGAUGCAGCAGAUCUCUCAAUCUUUUUUCUCAAUCAGUCUCUCUGAAUACGGAAGUGACUUAAACUGCAAUUCGGCCAAGAUGGCGACGGCACGCACCGCCUACUUUAAGCUUCAAAAAUGCUCUUCACAAACGAAUAGGUGACGUCACGGACACUACUUGCAUAUUUUUACAGUCUCUGGUUAAAAGGCAUUUUAAGUGCUUGAAAAUAAAUACCCCAGGCAAUAUGCUUUAUGGGAAUUCCUGUAGUCUGUCAUUUUUCAAAUGGAUGAAUCCUCUCCUGUUCGAUUCCUUUGUACAUCUUUGUUCGCGACGAGUAACUUUAAUAAAUGAAGUAUUUUUAGUCAAAUACAUUCCAUUCUGUGAAACUUAAAACAUUUGUUCUUUAAAAAAAACUUUACACAUCUAUGAAUGAUUUUACUUUUAAUUUAACAAUUACAUUGUUUCUUUUCUUACACUGCUGUAGUUUUGUUUAUGUACAUUUCAGUAUUUCAUAUAUUGUAAAAUUACAAAUUCUGUCUUAAAUUCAAACGAAUUGAUUCAACCUGUUACAUUGUUACUUCAAUGUGCAUAAUUUAUGAUAUUUUAUAAAUAUAUUUAUACUUGGGUCAGUAAGCAGUCCUUUAAAUGAUUUUGCAACUUACAACUGUAAAAAUGUAAGAGUUUGUAGUUAUUUUGCAGUCAAAUAAACAUUUAUUUGCUGUUAACAAUGGUCUUGAUUUACAAUAAAGCACAUGAUAAAAAUAACCCAGCAAGAAUAACCCAAAACCCAGAAUAUUAAUCCCAUAAAUGGUUAAAAUGACUACAUGUUGGGUUUUCUCAACAACCCAACCUGCUGGGUUAAAAUGUGUUACCCAACGUGUUGGGUUACUUUAACCCAGCAUGUGUUCUGUCCAAUAUUUACCCAGCGCUGGGUUGCCAAUUGGGUUGUUUUUAACCCAACCAUUUUUAGAGUGAAUGUAUAAUUUUCCAUAUUUUACCCCCUUAUAACCCAAAACUUAACAUAUGUUAUAUAUACAUAUAUACAUACAUACAAGUACGUACGUAGAGGUACUCUGUUGUUACAAAUGGGUACGCAGUUCAUUGGGUUUAAUUAUGCGGUACAUUGCUGGUCCUAAUAUAAAGUGUUACCUAAACUAUUAAUAUAACAUGCGUCUUUAGUUUGUGUUUGAUUAUCACUACUAGGUUACUCAUUUGUGUAACAGCGGCCCUCUCUUAUUGUCUCUACAGAUAUGUAAAGCAGCCGGGAAUGACAGCGCAGCUCUCAAAGACCAUCCUGCAGAUGGUAGAUACACACUUCAGCACUGUGAAUUUGACCCUUAAAUCCAUCAGUGACAUUUACGCAGAGCUGCAGGACAAACUUGAAGUGCAUGGAGAGAGUGACAUGAUUGAAAAAAAAUCCCCUGACACUUUGGGCAUGCUGGUGUCAUUUUUAAAGCCCUUUUAUGAUGCUCAGCGUGAACUGGAGGGGGACAGAUAUCCCGCACUGCAUCUUGCGUAGCUAUGGGUAGAGCGACUCCAACACCACUGCCAACAAAAUGCCAAUGAUACUGCCCAGCUG